CAAAAAAGCAAAAAAAAAGGUCCAAGCCUCCCAAUUAACACACCCGUCUCUAUCUCUAUCCCCAAAUCUCGCCUUUCUCGAUCCUCUUUUCCUGCCAACGCCAUCAACGACGAUCCAUCUCCGCCGCCGCGCUGGUUCUCCUCCGCCACUGCCGAGCUCCCGCUCCAUGGUCGGCUUCCGACACACCGCACCGCCAGCUCGCAAUCCUCUUCGCCCACUCUGACCUCUCUGCCAAAAUUACCCAGAUAGUGACCGCUUGUUGUAUUCCCGGUGGAGGUUAUAUUUUGGUGGUACGCAGCAGCUGAAGCCCAGUUCAUGCCUAGGAAUUUAUAGUAGGGGAGAGUGAAGGCAGUCAAAAAGAAGCUAGAAAAGAUGUUGCUUGAACUGGUUAAGGCGCACUCUGAAUUGUAAUUUUCAUUACCUUGGAAACAUAUGUAAUCAGAUGGAAAUGUAACAUUUUUAUGUUUACUCGAAACGAAUCUAUGGGUUAUUUGAUUCUA